rnacentral:rRNA from 1 species
GUGUCAGCAGCCGCGGUAAUACGGAGGGGGCUAGCGUUGUUCGGAAUUACUGGGCGUAAAGCGCACGUAGGCGGCUUUGUAAGUUAGAGGUGAAAGCCCGGAGCUCAACUCCGGAACUGCCUUUAAGACUGCAUCGCUUGAACGUCGGAGAGGUAAGUGGAAUUCCGAGUGUAGAGGUGAAAUUCGUAGAUAUUCGGAAGAACACCAGUGGCGAAGGCGACUUACUGGACGACUGUUGACGCUGAGGUGCGAAAGCGUGGGGAGCAAACAGGAUUAGAUACCCUAGUAGUCC